GAUGAACGCUGGCGGCGUGCUUAACACAUGCAAGUCGAACGGGAAUUAUUUUAUUGCUACUUCUGACGAUUUACUUUAAUUCUAGUGGCGGGCGGGUGAGUAACGCGUGGUUAUCCUGCCUUAUACAGGGGGAUAACAGUCAGAAAUGGCUGCUAAUACCGCAUAAGCGCGCACAGCUGCAUGUCUCAGUUUGAACAACUCCGGUGGGAUAGGUUGGAUCCGCGUUGGAUUAGCUGGUUGGUGGGGUAACGGCGCACCAAGGCGACGUUCCAUAGCCGGCCAGAGAGGGUGAACCGCGACUUUGAGGCUGGGACACGGCCGGGAAUACUACGGGAGGCAGGAGUGGGUAAUACAGCAAAAUCGCGGAAACCCAGAAGCAGCGACGGUGCGAGAACGAAGAAGUAGGGCGGUAUGUAAAGUUCUAUAAGCAGGGGAGGUAGUGACGGUACCUGACGAAGAAGCCCCGGCUAACUACGUG
rnacentral:rRNA from 1 species